rnacentral:lncRNA from 10 species
AAAAGAGAAAAACAAUGAAAGUCUGUAUUAGUAACCAGAAAAACGGUCAGAAGUCUGAGGUACCUGAGAGAAGACAGCAAAAUGAGAUCUGGAAUUUGAGGAGCACCUGUUAGGAGAAGAGCCAUCUCUACUACUCCCCAAAAGAUUCCCUGUUCUAGUUGGCCUUCUAUAUUGGUGGUUUCUGAAUACAUACCCCAAAGAACCUGAGCAUCAGUGAAUUCUGGUAUCUUCUGGGAGCCCUGGAACUAAUCUCUUGAAGAUACCAACGGAUGACUGUGUUUUAAAAGGCGAGAGAGAGAUGUCACUCAGGACUGCUUCCGAAGGAGUUUCCCUUGAAGCUUGCUUCACUGUCUGACUCCUUUCAUACAAGUGGGUAACAUGCCCUUCAUUCAGAACCAAACCUGUGCCCUGGCUUGGUAUAUUUCCUCCACCUGCUGAGCAUCCUCUCACCCUCUACUUUUACCUGGAAGAAAGAAGACAAUAAUAUCUACCAAUCAAGAUGCUGUACCUGAAGCAGAAGAUAACCUGGCAAAGAAAAGAGUAUAGUGCUGCCUUCAGGGAACUCCUAGUCUAGGGGAAGACAGCCAAUAAUCACAUAACUGCUCUAAUCAAAUAUUUCACCAAAAUAAAGUAUUAGCCACCUCCUAGA